rnacentral:rRNA from 1 species
GACCAAUAAACCCGAACGGAGGUAGUACGAAAGUCUCGUCUUCUAUCUAUAGAUACUCCAUAUAAAUCAGUCACAACUGGCUGACCAUUGGUCAACGUGCUACCCAUCCCAUGUGUACAAAGCAUAUCCCUUCCUCAUUCCUCUGCUCCACCAUCUUUGAGAAGGGAAAAAUAGAUGGAGAGGCUGUACCAAAUUGAUUGGCCUGCUCGUCCAUGUGAUGGGGAGUGCCGGAGUGGCUGCACCAAAUCGAGUGGCCUGCCCGUGCAUCAACAAAGCUGGGAAGGAGAUUAUCUUGGAGGCCAGAUCUGAGCGAGGUCGGGGCACGCGUUCCAGCCGCGGAUUUGGCGCUCCCUAGCAGCGAGGCAAGGCGGUCGCCGGGGAGGCCACUGAAGAAUAUGAGUGAUCCGUAGUUGGUAACUUCCCUAAUGGCGCUGCUAUCCUGUUCGUGUCACUGGGCCAAGGAUUGUGGUGUCGGGUUUGACGGCCAUGUUCUUCAUAGUGUUCCUCAUCUUAUGUGGCAGAGUAGUGAUGGGUAUGACUGUCUUACUACUCUCCCAUCCUCCUCAUCAUUAUCUUGUUGGGCUCAGUGUACACGUACUUUAAAAUUUCAUUUACUUAGUUGAUCUGUUAAAUUUAUUCAGAGGUAAGGUUGAGUUACCUAGUUCUGGUAAAUUAUAAUACAGACGAUGAACUCAUAUAUUUUGUUGUUGUUCAUGUAAGGAUCAUUUAGGAUAUGAAUUAUAGAGUUAUUUAACUUUUCAUUGGUGUGCCUUGCAUUAUUUUAAUGAAUUGAACUUAUAUUACUUUUUCUGUUGACAUUCUGCCAACUUUGAUUAUUGUCUCUUCAACUCAUCCGUAUCAAUUAUACGAAGUUUCGUCUAGCAAAAGUUAUAUCCAUCUACUACGUAUAACACUUAUAUAUCUUUUAUUUCAUUGUCUUGUCUGCACUUCUUAACAUGUAUAUACAUGAAAGUAGUGUGAGGAAAUAUUAAUCUGCAUUAGCAUGUGAUUGGUCUCUUCACAUUUGUAGCAUGUGAUCGGUCUCUUUACAUUCGUAGAAAGUCCACAGGUGGAGGCGAGUCAUGGGCUCCCUAGUUGCUACUGCUGUCAAGUUCCACCUAUGUGAUUCGAAAAAAACUUCCACCAAUGUAAUGUGCUACUACUUUGCAUCUUUCCUACUUCCUCCACACUGUUCUUCACAGGUAUGCUUCCCGCCUCUAGUUGGAUAAAAGGUAUAUUCUCUAUUUGUUGUACCAUAUAAUAGCAAGUUAUAUCAAUGAUAUGUGUAGUUAAGACAAACGAAGAAGGUUCACAUGUAUUAACUGAAGUUGGUUCAUGUGUGUUAAUUGAUAUGCAAUAGAUUUUUCGCAUGUGUUGUAGGCGAUGCCUAUAACACUGGAGCUUUUCUCAUUAUUCUCUUCAACUGAAACAGCUGUAGGAUGGAAGAGAUGUUACCAAGAACACAACUCACAAAAGUGCAUGUCUGAAUGUAUUUCAACCUUAUAUACUAAGUGUCCUCCCUAUAUUGAUCAUGUGAUGUAUUCUUUCUCUAUCCCGGUAAACAUAAAUUAGUUGCCUUUCAAUAUUGUAAAAUAUUUGAUGCUUCUCAUAUUUUUCGUCCAAUGAGUUCAGCAAUUUUGCUACCACUGUUAUUGGUGCAGAGUAAAUAUAAUAUGAAAGUUCUUGUUGAAAUUAGUAGAAUAUGCUUUCGAGGUGUUAUAAUUUCUAGAUAUAUACCACAAUUGUCACAGUAAUACUUGUCAGUUCCUUUGUAGUUAGUUUGUGACUAUCACAACAUGUUCAUGUACAUAUUUUUUUUGUAACAGAUCUAUUACAGCUUGUCGUGAAAAGUAAAAUCCUAAAAAAGUCACCGGAAAACUUUAAAGAUAGCAACCCAAAGAAGUUGGGAGACAUAAAUAAUUCAGAUAUGGUACCAUUAUAACUGAUAUGACUCAAUUAUCAGUACAUGUGAGUCUCAUUUUCCUCCAAAAGUGGUGAUAUCAUAUCUUAGAGGAGUCUGAAUCAUUACCUGACUUGUGGUUUUCGUGCCUCAUUGCACUAAGUUCUUGUAAUGUUCUCCUAUGUAAAAUAUUUCUAGCGCUCCUUGUGUGUUGCUAUCUAUCUCCAUCAUUUUUGGCGAACUUUCUUCUACCGAGUGCCUACAUUUGUGGAGUUAGUCAAGUAAAAUUAUUACUUUACAAUGAUGAAUAAACAUGAGUCACGAUUCAUUUGUUGAUAAAUAAUUAAAGAUAGUGUUCCAUAUGUAAGGAAGUUCUCGAGUUUCAUCUAUGUCUAGAUCUGUAUAUAUUCCUGUGAGGCUGGUUUACUUUAGGUACAACCCUAUUAAAUAAAUGACAAAUCUUUUAGAUUUCUUGCAACCAUAGUCUAGCGCCGGUGUUAUCACCCGUAAAGAGGUUAAGCUGAAAAAUGCAAAUCUUAGCCAGAGUGGUGGAAGUCCAAUUAAAGUUUCAAUAAUGAGUAUGCAUCAUGCUUUCUCUGUUAUUAGAAUCAGUCGUUUUUCAUGGUUAGAAAUAUUAAUUAGAUUAUUUAAAACUACAGAGUAUAAGCAUACCUGAGCAUUAUUUAACUUUAUCUGCUGGUUUUGUAUUGUGUCCUUGGUGGAAAACUCGGAGUAGUAAUCUGGAAAACAUUCUGAUGGUCGUUUCACCCCCUUUACCUUUGUAUUGUACGCCGAAAAAAAAUCAUUUCAUUUCUCAAUGGGUGAUAUUUUGUGGAUUCCACAACCUUAAAAGUUGAUAGUGUAUAAGUGGAUACUUCUGAUAGUAGCAUGAUGUUUUUAAUAUUGAUAGUAAGAUGAUUUGUUUGGCCAUGUCAAACCAUACAGAAUAUAAUUAGCAAUUUUUGUUUAAAUUGGUGGGGCAGUCUGUAAUAGAAUGUUUAAUGAGCAAACAAUUUUGUCCAUCAAAAUCAUAUCGAGGCUCAUGAACUGAUCGGUUGCAUGAUUGAGCGAAUUGCAUAUGAUCGGUACUUUCACUUGAAUGUUCUAGUUUGUCCUGUUGUUGAUAAGCACUAAGCUUCUUGCACGCCAUAGUUUUUUGGCUGCAAAAGGAUUCGAAAAUUGUUAGUCACUACCUAUGCAGUUGUUAUCCUGAUAAGUGAUGAGCCUUGAUAAUUCAGGUGAGAGGCAGCUCAGAAGGUCUAUGUUGACUUCAUUGGGCGUCGAGUUGCAGUCACAUCACAGUUUUGGCGGUUUCAGAUGUUUGUCUGGCGUCACAGAACCCGUAGUCUUCGAUUUUGUUAGUGGUGCUCUGGUCUGGUAGCAGAUUUGGUAGCCUUCAUGAAUCGGAAGACCUUGAUUUUGCUGAUGGUUCUCUGGUCGGGUAGUAGAUUUGCUAGUUUGUCCAGUUAAGACUCUUGGGCGUGUGCUUGGUGUGUCUGGUUGGGUGUUGUUCUAUUUUCUUUCCGCACUGACUCCAUGUGGAGUUUUUUUCUCCCUUUCGAUCAAGAAUCCAUGUAGAGUUUCGUUGAUUGAGUCCGUCCCUGGGUUGUAGUUUUUUGUGCAUGUGCCCGAUUUGGAAGUAGGUGCACGUGAGGAUUCAUAUCUUGUUUUGUCUCUUGGAAGGAUGUGCACGUGAGGAUUCGUAUCUUCUUUUGUCUCGUGAUAAUGGUUGUACGUGUCAUAUGUGUCAUGUACAUAUGUGUCCUGUACUGUACGGAGGACGGGGCAUGUACUCGGUCAUUUUUUUCCUAUUUAUGUAAGCUUACACGUGAUUGUUAUAAACAGAUCUUUAUAUAAAAAAAGAUGUCUUAGACUAUUUAGACAUGACAUGUUAAGUUAGUUGUACGGGACAAUAUUUGUAUGUUACGCUGCAACUUUUAAAUCUCAGCCGUCAAUAUCUAAAAUUAACGACCGUGAUAAUUUAAUCUAUGUGGAUCAACGUGAUGGCUUGUUUGACUUCUGUCAUAAGUAUAUAAUAGAUGUUCUUAUUGCUGAUGGUACUCCUCUUCCUGUUGCUAGUCGAGGCAUUCUUUACACUUCUUCAUUUCAUGUUUCAGAUUUUUCUCAUGUUCCUUGCCUUACCAUGAACUUAUUUUCUACAAGUUAGCUUACUGAUUCAGGUUGUCGUGUGAUACGCCCAUUUUUCAUCAUGCUUUUAUAUCAAUAUUUAUUGCAUUAUGGGCUAUUAUUACACAUUAUAUCAUAAUACUUAUGUCUUUUCUGUCUUAUUUUAUAAGAUUUACACGAAGAGGGAGAAUGCUGACAGCUGGAAUUCUGCACUGGAAAAGGAGCAAACAUUAGAGACCUAUUCUGCACAAUUCCAAAAGUCCUGAAACUCCAUGAAAGUCAGUUUCAGAAUAUAUUAAAAAUAUUGGAUGAAGAAAGCACCAGAGGGGGGCCACCCCACCAGCCACGAGGGUGGAGGGCGCGCCCUACCCCCCUGGGUGCGCCCCCUGCCUCGUGGGCCACCUGGCAGGCCCCCGAUGCCCAUCUUCUGCUAUAUGGUGUCUUUUGCCCUGGAAAAAAUCAUAAGAAAGCUUUCGGGAUGAAGCGUCGCCAUCUCGAGGCGGAACCUGGGCAGAACCAAUCUAGGGCUCUGAUGGAGUUGUUCUGCCGGGGAAACAUCCCUUUGGGAGGGGGAAAUCGUUGCCAUCAUCAUCACCAUCGAUCCUCUCAUCGAGAGGGGGUCAAUCUCCAUCAACAUCUUCAACAACACCAUCUCCUCUCAAACCCUAGUUCAUCUCUUGUAUCUGAUCUUUGUCUCAAAACCUUAGAUUGGUACCCGUGGGUUGCUAGUAGUGUUGAUUACUCCCUGUAGUUGAUGCUAGUUGGUUUAUUAGGUGGAAGAUCAUAUGUUCAGAUUCUUAAUGCAUAUUAAUGCCCCUCUGAUUAUGAACAUGAAUAUGCUUUGUGAG